UACGAAGGGGGCUAGCGUUGCUCGGAAUCACUGGGCGUAAAGGGUGCGUAGGCGGGUCUUUAAGUCAGGGGUGAAAUCCUGGAGCUCAACUCCAGAACUGCCUUUGAUACUGAAGAUCUUGAGUUCGGGAGAGGUGAGUGGAACUGCGAGUGUAGAGGUGAAAUUCGUAGAUAUUCGCAAGAACACCAGUGGCGAAGGCGGCUCACUGGCCCGAUACUGACGCUGAGGCACGGAAAGCGUGGGGAGCAAACAGGGAUUAAGAUAACCCG
rnacentral:rRNA from 1 species